CUAGCGAGACUGCCGGUAAUAAACCGGAGGAAGGUGGGGAUGACGUCAAAUCAUCAUGCCCCUUAUGACCUGGGCUACACACGUGCUACAAUGGUUGGUACAACGAGUUGCGAGUCGGUGACGGCGAGCUAAUCUCUUAAAGCCAAUCUCAGUUCGGAUUGUAGGCUGCAACUCGCCUACAUGAAGUCGGAAUCGCUAGUAAUCGCGGAUCAGCACGCCGCGGUGAAUACGUUCCCGGGCCUU
rnacentral:rRNA from 1 species